rnacentral:rRNA from 1 species
GUCUUGACNUCCUUUGACNNCUCGAGAGAUCGAGCUUUCCCUUCGGGGACAAAGUGACAGGUGGUGCAUGGUUGUCGUCAGCUCGUGUCGUGAGAUGUUGGGUUAAGUCCCGCAACGAGCGCAACCCUUAUUACUAGUUGCCAGCAUUCAGUUGGGCACUCUAGUGAGACUGCCGGUGACAAACCGGAGGAAGGUGGGGAUGACGUCAAAUCAUCAUGCCCCUUAUGACCUGGGCUACACACGUGCUACAAUGGAUGGUACAACGAGUCGCGAAGUCGUGAGGCCAAGCUAAUCUCUUAAAGCCAUUCUCAGUUCGGAUUGUAGGCUGCAACUCGCCUACAUGAAGCCGGAAUCGCUAGUAAUCGCGGAUCAGAACGCCGCGGUGAAUACGUUCCCGGGA